rnacentral:rRNA from 1 species
UACGUAGGGGGCAAGCGUUGUCCGGAAUUAUUGGGCGUAAAGCGCGUGUAGGCGGCCAGAUAAGUCCGCUGUGAAAUCUCGAGGCUCAACUUCGAGCUGUCGGUGGAAACUGUCUGGCUAGAGUCCGGAAGAGGAGAAUGGAAUUCCUGGUGUAGCGGUGAAAUGCGCAGAUAUCAGGAAGAACACCGGUGGCGAAGGCGGAUCUCUGGGCCGACACUGACGCUGAGGAGCGAAAGCGUGGGGAGCGAACAGG